rnacentral:rRNA from 1 species
UACCAGCACCCCGAGUGGUCGGGACGAUUAUUGGGCCUAAAGCAUCCGUAGCCGGUCAUGCAAGUCUUCCGUUAAAUCCAGCCGCUCAACGGUUGGGCUGCGGAGGAUACUACGUGGCUAGGAGGCGGGAGAGGUAAGCGGUACUCGAUGGGUAGGGGUAAAAUCCGUCGAUCCAUUGAAGACCACCAGUGGCGAAGGCGGCUUGCCAGAACGCGCUCGACGGUGAGGGAUGAAAGCUGGGGGGAGCAAACCGG